CCUACGGGAGGCAGCAGUGGGGAAUAUUGGACAAUGUGGGGAACCCUGAUCCAGCGACGCCGCGUGAGUGAAGAAGUAUUUCGGUAUGUAAAGCUCUAUCAGCAGGGAAGAAAGAAAUGACUGUACCUGACUAAGAAGCCCCGGCUAACUACGCGCCAGCAGCCGCGGAAAUACGGAGGGGGCAAGCGUUAUCCGGAUUUACUGGGUGUAAAGGGAGCGGAGACGGCGAUGCAAGUCUGAAGUGAAAGGCGGGGGCCCAACCCCCGGACUGCUUUGGAAACUGUAUGGCUGGAGUGCAGGAGAGGUAAGCGGAAUUCCUAGUGUAGCGGUGAAAUGCGUAGAUAUUAGGAGGAACACCAGUGGCGAAGGCGGCCUGCUGGGCCUUGACUGACGCUGAGGCUCGAAAGUGUGGGGAGCGAACAGGAUUAGAUACCCCUGUAGUC
rnacentral:rRNA from 1 species